UACGUAGGGGGCAAGCGUUGUCCGGAAUCAUUGGGCGUAAAGAGCGUGUAGGCGGCUUGGUAAGUCCGCUGUGAAAGUCCAGGGCUCAACCCUGGAAAGCCGGUGGAAACUGUCAAGCUCGAGUCCGGAAGAGGCGAGUGGAAUUCCUGGUGUAGCGGUGAAAUGCGCAGAUAUCAGGAGGAACACCAAUGGCGAAGGCGACUUUCUGGUCUGUAACUGACACUGAGGCGCGAAAGCGUGGGGAGCGAACAGGA
rnacentral:rRNA from 1 species